ensembl:lincRNA
CGCUCCAACCCCUCCCAGGCCUUGCCCCGCCUACCCUGCCUUGGCUCCCUGGCCUCCGGUCUCGCCUCUAGCCCCGCCCCGUCCCCCAAGUCCCGCCCCUCAGGAGGGCGAGGUGGAGCUACAGCGCCGCUUGGCGUCGGCCGGGAGGGAGCCUCAGCCUCUCCUGCUUCUCCACGCCCACAGGCAGAAGAUGCCGAUGCAAGUUCAACCAGCAGCAGAGGUAAGACGCCCCUCCCCGCCUUCCUUCGCCCGCUCCUGCUCUGGAGGGCGCCGCAGGUGAGGCGGGGAGUCCGCCUGACCCGCAGCCCGAUCCCCAUCAGCGACUAUGUAUUAAGCACCUACUAUGUACCAUGGUCCAAGCCAGGCCCUGGGACCAAGCGAGGAAAAAACCUCCCGCCCUUCCUGGCCGAGCUCCCAGCCUAGUGGAGGCGGUGGCCGUGGGUUCCAACAGCCCCACAGAUAGAAAAAUCACAAAGCGUGAUAACACAAAGUGCAGGAAAGAAGGAACGGCGGUGAAAUGAGAUCAUCUCACACGCGGCCCAGUUUAGCUUAGAGUCCUGUUCCUAGCUCUUUGAUUCCUCUUCAAAUAAAAUGUUAAAGCAUGGACAAUGUGUGAAUAUGUUAGAACAAUUAUAGAUAUUAUCAUAAGCAGUAGCUAAUAUUUAUUGGGUGUGUACCACGUGUCAGAUACGGUUUCACUUCCUCUGGGAGGGAGGUGCUGUUAUUUUACAGAUGAGGAAACUGAGGCACAGGGAGGUAAAGUCACUUUGUUCAAGAUCACUCAAGUGGAAGAUGGGGGAUUCCGGGUUUCCAACCCAGGCCAUCUCACGACAGUCUGCCAAGUCCCCUUGACUGUCCCUCACCUACCAACUUCACAUCCCUGCCCCCAAAUCCGCGGAGGUACUCACUGUUAACCGGCUUGGAAGCCCCCUGCCAAGCACUUAAGCUGCUCCUGGGUGCUUCUUAUUUCUGGCGGACCCCGAGCCUGUUCUUCGUCCAUAUCUGGGCCUUGUUACACCGGUCUGGGAAAGGAGGCUUGUACUGGGGGUUCCUGAAGGGCAGCCUCUCCCCCUUUCCAUCCCGAAAUCCUUCUGCCUCUGUCCUCCCAGGACUGGGGAACCCGAUGAAGAGGAGGGAACUUUCCGCAGCUCCAUCCGCCGUGAGUCUGGGGAGACUGCGGGUAUUUUGGGGAGAGGGCUGGUUCCAAGGACCCCUUUUCCUGGCCCUCCCUGGCUGCGUAGAGGGAGGGGCUGGAUCUGAAAGCAGAGGGCGGGGAGUUGCCCCGCCUGCCCAGGAGCUGGGGAUGCCCCUCCUGAUGACCCCCGACCUCCGUGUUCCCCCCAGGUCUGUCCACCCGCAGGCGGUAGAAACACCUGGCGCGAUGGAAUCCGGCCAGGACUCCCCUGGCACCUGACGUCUCCCACGCUCCACCU